UACAGAGGGUGCGAGCGUUGUUCGGAAUUAUUGGGCGUAAAGGGCGCGUAGGCGGUGCGGUAAGUCACCUGUGAAAUCUCCUGGCUUAACUGGGAGCCUGCAGGCGAAACUACCGUGCUGGAGUGUGGGAGAGGUGCGUGGAAUUCCCGGUGUAGCGGUGAAAUGCGUAGAUAUCAGGAGGAACACCGGUGGUGUAAACGGCUUUCUGGACCAUAACUGACGCUGAGGCACGAAAGCGUGGGUAGCAAACAGG
rnacentral:rRNA from 1 species